rnacentral:rRNA from 1 species
UGAGAAAAUUAGAGUGUUCAAAGCAGGCAUUUGCUUGAAUAUAUUAGCAUGGAAUAAUCAUGUAUGAUUUUCAUGAUAUAUUUUAUUGGUUUGGUUCAUGAGAAUAAGAUUAAAAGGGACAGUUGGGGGUAUUCAUAUUCAAUAGUCAGAGGUGAAAUUCUCGGAUUUAUGGAAGAUGAACAAGUGCGAAAGCAUUUACCAAGGAUGUUUUCAUUAAUCAAGAACGAAAGUUAGGGGAUCGAAGAGGAUUAGAUACCCUCGUAGUCUUAA